UACGUAGGGUGCGAGCGUUAAUCGGAAUUACUGGGCGUAAAGCGUGCGCAGGCGGUUAUAUAAGUCAGUUGUGAAAUCCCCGGGCUCAACCUGGGAAUUGCAUCUGUGACUGUAUAGCUAGAGUACGGUAGAGGGGGAUGGAAUUCCGCGUGUAGCAGUGAAAUGCGUAGAUAUCCGGAGGAACACCGGUGGCGAAGGCGGCUUCCUGGACCGACACUGACGCUGAGGCGCGAAAGCUAGGGGAGCAAACAGG
rnacentral:rRNA from 1 species